UACGUAGGGUGCAAGCGUUGUCCGGAAUUAUUGGGCGUAAAGAGCUCGUAGGCGGUUUGUCGCGUCGGCUGUGAAAACUCGGGGCUCAACCCCGAGCCUGCAGUCGAUACGGGCAGACUAGAGUGCUGUAGGGGAGACUGGAAUUCCUGGUGUAGCGGUGAAAUGCGCAGAUAUCAGGAGGAACACCGGUGGCGAAGGCGGAUCUCUGGGCCGAUACUGACGCUGAGGAGCGAAAGCGUGGGGAGCGAACAGG
rnacentral:rRNA from 1 species